rnacentral:rRNA from 1 species
AGCUAAUAGAUACCCGGGUAGUCCACGCCCUAAACGAUGCAUAUUUGGUGUGGGCAGUUCAUUCUGUCCGUGCCGGAGCUAACGCGUUAAAUAUGCCGCCUGGGGAGUACAGUCGCAAGGCUGAAACUCAAAGGAAUUGACGGGGGCCCGCACAAGCGGUGGAGCAUGUGGUUCAAUUCGACGCAACGCGAAGAACCUUACCUGGGCUCGAACGGCUGGUCAACGGGAGCGGAAACGUUUCUACCCCGCAAGGGGGUCCGAGUCGAGGUGCUGCAUGGCUGUCGUCAGCUCGUGUCGUGAGAUGUUGGGUUAAGUCCCGCAACGAGCGCAACCCUUGUCCUGUGUUGCCAUCAUUCAGUUGGGAACUCGCAGGAGACCGCCAGGGAUAACCUGGAGGAAGGUGGGGAUGACGUCAAGUCCUCAUGGCCUUUAUGUCCAGGGCUACACACGUGCUACAAUGGACGGUACAAAGCGCAGCGAACUCGCGAGAGGGAGCCAAUCGCAAAAAACCGUUCUCAGUUCGGAUUGCAGGCU